GCACAUAUUCAAGUCUGUAGUCUGGAACACAUGGUAGACCAUGCGUGUUAAUAUGCAAGAGAGAAGAAAAGACGAAUUAUUUGCAGAAUCCAGAAGAUGUUAGAUUGAUUCCAACUUGAAACAACCACUUGCACAGAUAUUACAAAUGAAACUCAUGGUCAAAUUGAGAAGAAACCACAGGCUCUAUCUUUGAGAAUUGAGAAUAAGUCCUGCAGAUCCAAGUAUGCCUUUUGGAAUUACUGAACACAAAGCCUUUAGCUUACGACAUGAACGUGAUGUGAAAUAUGAAAUUCAAGUACAGGCUUUGGUUGAUGAAGAAUGGAAAGUCUUUAGUACUGGUUACAUAUGCCAGAAAUUUGGCACCACCAAGAAAUGCAGCCAAAGUCAGGUCCUAUCGGUGGCUGGAUUGACAAUGCCUGUUUAUGCGACCUUUGCUCUUUUUUUCCCGGUAUCUUUCAAAGGAAACAAACUGUCCAAAAGUGUGUUGUAAGAUGAGUGAAUGAGAUACCAUUAUUAAGAAACAACUAUUUGUUUCAAAAAUUUCACCUCAGAGGGGAUGUCAACUUCAUUUUACCUUUGUAAGUUUCCUGUUAGUAAACACAUG